UGUGCAGAGUAAAAGCUCGUGAGGCACAACCAACAAGUUCAUGUUGCAUUGCAAUGUAAUAAAAAUGUUGUUGCUGUUGCCACAACGGAGGCAAGUUCGCGUUGCAUUGCCACAAGCUGCACAAAACGAUAACAAGAGGAAAACCUUUGCAAAUAAAAGCAAAGAAGUAAAAAAAUAAAUAUAUAUAAAUAAAAUAAAUAAACUAAACCAAAAGCAGGCAGAGACUGGGAGACUGGACGACUGGGAGACUUGGAGGCUGGGAGACUGGGAGUCUGAGAGUCUGCGAGUCGAAGCCUGGGCGUGGGGCAUGUGGCACGGACUUUUGUGGCAAGCGAAAAGGCAAAAGGGAAAAGGGAAACGACAACAAACAGCUGCAAAAAUCAUAUUUACAGGCAGCCGUAUCGAACUCGGCAACAUUGCAACUGCAACAACGCGGCAACUGACAACUUGCAACUAGAAGCAACAAAAAACAAAAACAACUGCAAGCAACCAUUGAUAGUUGCCACAGCGAUAGAGGAACAGCAGCACCACCAUGAGUAUUUCACGCCUUUAACCACUUAUUAAAAUAGGCAAAAUGUCUAUUAGCCUGCUCUGUUAACGUGGCCACCAACAGUUUGUUUGCAACACUGAACAAAAAACCAACUGCUAAAAUCAAUAACAUUCAUCUUA